AGUGAAAGUUAUGCACUAAAGCAGUGCACUAAAGCAGUGAAAGGAAAAGUUCUUCUACUCGUUUCUUCCUUAACUCAGAGAAAUGAGCCUGGAGCUAUUUAUGUUCUAUGCCAUUUGUCCUUCUCCGUUUUAGGUGCUGGAUGUGGAGCUGAAAUUUCCAGCCACAAUGACUUUGGAGCCAGGAUCACAGGUGACCCCAAGCCCUGGAACUGUGAGGAUGGUCAUUGCUCCACUGUGGUUUCAAGCUCUGAUGUCCUAGUGCUCCUUCUCACUCUGGGACUGCCACCCAGAAUAGCAAUGCUGAUCUGACCAUGGACAAAGCAACAGAGUGCUGCCUCAGUGCUGAAAAAAAAAGACCCUGUAAUUUCUCUCUUAACCAGUUGUUUGAUCCCCUUUCUAUGAGCUAAGACCUUUAGAAGUCACCCCUGCAGUUGCUGAUUCAGUAGUUCCCAAGGCUAGCUCCUACUUUGCUGGGGUGUGUGCUGGCACAGCCUGUGCCAGACUGUGCUCCAUUCUUUCUUUCAUGUGAUAGACCUUUCCUGCUCUCUUUCCAAGUUGUCCUGGAAUGGAAAAUUGUUUCACUCUUGUCUUUUUGUGAGUUCUGUUGCUCUAUAAUUUGUUUAGAAUCAUUAUUUAAAGAUAUUUGGAGGAGUUUGGGGGAGAGCUCAGUGCAAGUCCUUGCCUUUACUCCAUCAUCUUGGUUCUGCCUUAAUUGUUAAAUUUUUAGUAUGAGCAUUUACACCUUGGAAAUCAGAGAAUGCUAUAAUCAGAUAUUGAUUUGUUAUUUUGUUCAUUUCUUGACUUAAGAAAGUGAUAGAUGAAAUAUCCUUCCUACUUUAACAGUCACAUUUUAUGAAUGUCUUACUCUCUUGGCUAUCAAUAUCCUCUGUUGACUCUCACUUCUUUUGUACAACAGAGGGAAGAAUGAUUAGUAUUCCCUGUGGAUUUCCCACCCCAUAAUCUCCCUUCCUAAGGCAAAAACAGGAUAGAAGUGAAAAGGAGGGCUACCUGAAAGAUGGCUAGUUUUUAAGAAGUGUGAUAAAAUGGAAGGAGUACUGAACUAAGUUAUGGGAGGCCUGGCCUCUACAGGACAGACUUCUUGGUCAAGUCACAUUGACUUCUGAGCUUCCAUUGUAAAAUAGAGAUAAUAUCUGAACUCCCUGAAACCAGGGAGUUAGGAUGGGUCAUUUUUUUCAGGUUGUCCUAGAAGUAAAUUGAUUUCUUUCUUGUUUCUUAAUCAAUUAUGUGUGUUAAGCAGCUGUUUACCUUGAAGAAUCUAAGUUUGGGUUCACGGGAACAAUGAAGCAAGGGCAUUGAUGCUGAGCUGAUGCAACCUUGCUCCUGGAUUCUGACUUUCAGAUUUCUGUAACUUGAACUCCCAAUUCAGAUUAAGGGUUCAACUCCCUACACAAUGGAAAAGAAUGAACAAACAGAUUCAGGAGAACUUGUUUCUUGUGCGGAGAACUAUGAACUAGGAGAAUAAGGCCCUAUUCCCCUUUUUCUUUUAGAAUUUGUCUCUAAAUGUAGUGUGGCUACAAAAAAUGAGGCAAAAAACCACCAAAAGGCAUUUUCAUCUCUUGUUACCAUGAUCAGAGGAAUUUGUCUUGAAAUGAGGAAGUGGAACAUGGUUGAAGCAAAAUUGAGAAGUGGAGAUGAUGUUGAGAACAUCUGAGAUAAAAAAUUAUUCUGUCAAUCCUGAUCUUGAAAAUCACAAAACUGACCUAUAAUAAAUAUGAUGGGUCAAGACUACUUUAACUCUGUUUGAUUUUUGUACAUCCUAUAUCAGAUAUUACUUUCUACUGAGGCUUGCUAAUAUUGAAGAUAAAUAUUAAUGUGUCUUUGUAAUUGCAUCUUCAGCUUGUAUCAUGCCCUUUACAAUUAGGAUCUGGAAAUGCAAAUUGUCUUAGAACUUCAAUAAGCAUAAAAAAGUCAAUAGAAAUAUUGGAUAGUGGGGGGAACAAAAUCUGGAAAUUUCUUCCAGCUCUCCAGGACAAAGCCUGUGGUCUCCUCAUACUUAUAAGGCUAAUUACUUGAACCUAAAUAUAGGAUUUUAUCAUUAUGUCAAUCCCAUGU